AUGUGCCCCCUGCUACCCACCCCACCCCCCCACCCCCGCCCCUCUGCCAGCCCUCCGCUGCUCCCGGUGGGUCGAGCCCGGGCACUCCCGUCCACUACGACCGUUUCCCCCAGUGCACAGGACCCCCCCACGUGGCAUCCUCUAGGCUGCUCAUUUUACUCACUCUCCCUUCGCGGUCGCCCGGCGUCUCCCUCCCGGUCUUUCUUCCCUCAAGUCGCCGCCCACUCGGCACUCGGCGACGGAACGGAUGCCGUCUACGUCCUAGCAGCUCACUUUCCAGUGGGAUAUCGGGAAUGUAGGCACACUCUGGCAGAAAAAACAGGAUUACCAUACGGAGGAUUGAUGCAGUCAUCAUUGUUGUUAAGAAUGGAGAGCUCACUGCAGGAGAGAUCACUGUGGGGCCAUCCUUCGGACGAGCCAUCUCAGGAGCCCCUAACCGGACCGCAGGACCUGUCUGCCCUGAUACCUUAUAAAGAACAAGUGAGUUUGUAACAUGAGAGGUGCGACUUGCUGACCUCAAGUUCUGCAUGAGAGUUGUUCAUCCUGCAGAAUGCUGGGCAUUGCUUCAUAGGUGUCUACCUUUAAUGUUUAUAUACCUACACUUGUACAUAUGAAGUGUUUGCUGUAAAAGACGCAUCUGCACAUUAGCUCAUUGGAACUCUCAGUACCACUAUUCAUAUAUAUAUGUAUAUAUAUAUUUUUUUCUUUUUUUAGUAAUUUCUACAGCGAGCAUGGGGCUUAAACUCAUGACCCUGAGGCCAAGAGUCACACGCUCUUCCAACUGAGCCAGCCAGGCACUUCUCAAUAGUACUAUUUAACCUAGGUUAUAAUUACCACCCAGAAAGUCAAAAUUGCUAGCUUAUUAGAAUGUUGCCAGGUUAUUUCCUAUUGAGAUUCCUUUAUGAUGAAGUAAUUGUGUGUUUUUUUAAUGUGUCUGAAAGGCAGAAAGCAGAUCAGCAUGGGAGAAUAUUUGAUAUGAAUCACAAAUGGAAUUUGAGGUUUCUAUACAUACAGUUCCUCACUCUGC
rnacentral:lncRNA from 1 species